rnacentral:rRNA from 1 species
UACGUAGGGUGCGAGCGUUGUCCGGAAUUAUUGGGCGUAAAGGGCUCGUAGGCGGUCUGUCGCGUCGGUAGUGAAAACUCAGGGCUUAACCCUGAGCCUGCUUCCGAUACGGGCAGACUAGAGGUAUGCAGGGGAGAAUGGAAUUCCUGGUGUAGCGGUGAAAUGCGCAGAUAUCAGGAGGAACACCGGUGGCGAAGGCGGGUCUCUGGGCCGAUACUGACGCUGAGGAGCGAAAGCCAGGGGAGCGAACGGG